AUGGGCUCCUGGGACUGCAGCCGCAGACGUGCAAAACUUCAAAAACAGCUCAGCCCACCUCUUCCCCCAGUGGUGCUAAGGGGGCCUGCGAGGGCCAGUACCAGAAACCGCCGCCCACUCCCGCAGGCUGCAGACAGACGCUUCUGGGGCAGCCAGAUGCGGCCCUGCCCAAGCCCAUUCCUGGGCCGGGGCCAGGGGACUGAACUGGGAUGGCCACCUUCAAGCGGCCCGCUGGGUCCUGGGCAGAGCAGGCAGGCUCCUCUGGGCUGCACAGCUGCAGCGUGUGUCCCAACUGCCCCAUCUCUUCACUGGUCAGGGGUCCCGCAGCGGGGGCAGGGGUGGGCACGGGGCUCCUGAGCUUCUGGUGGA
rnacentral:lncRNA from 1 species